GUUGGCGCAGCUCGCUCCGCGACAUGCUGGAGAAGUGGGUGGCGCUGAACAUCAGCACCAGUGGCGUGAUGGCAGCAGCAGCUGGAGGAGGAGAUGGAUGCGUGUGAAGUUCUGAAGAUGUUGAAUGCAAGCAACCUAGAACACAACUUUUAGAUACCUUUGAAGAGCAAUAAGAUAUCGAUAUGUCAGGGAGUUCUAGCGACGCAUUAUACAAGGAGCUAUGGCAUGCUUGGGCUAGGCCGUUGAUCACAGUGCCUCGCCAAGGUGAAAGGAUUUACAACUUUCCGCAUGUUUAUAUGGAACAGGUAUGUCUCACCGCAUUGGUGUUUGCUCUUCUUGAUGCCCCAUAACUAAUGAAUGAAUUUUCUACUCAACACAUGCAGUAGCUAUUUGUGUCAUGGGACACUGCUUUGUUCUUGUGUUAAAAAUGACAAUAUGACUUUGUUUAUGUGGAAUAAUCAUCCAGGUAUUUAAAGAUCAUCCACAUCCACGUACAUAUUUAGAACCUGAUAGGAUCCUUGUGUGUGCGCGGCGUGUGCUUCUCUAGUGUGGUCAUGUAUUAGUUGACAAAUGAAUACCCAUCAGAGGGUACCACCUUACAUACAGUGCUUCCAGCCUUGUAGGCCUCACCAGAAGUCCCUUUGUUA